GGGUGUAUGGUCUAGUGGUAUGAUUUUCGCUUUGCAUGAUACCGUCCUUCGGCUCACCCACCUGCGAAAGGUCCCCGGUUCGAUCCCGGGUGCAUCCA